AAAUUGGAGAGUUUGAUCCUGGCUCAGAACAAACGCUGGCGGCGUGCCUAACACAUGCAAGUCGUACGAGAAAGUUCGCUUCGGCGAAUGAGUAAAGUGGCGAACGGGUGAGUAACGCGUGGAUAAUCUGCCCUUUAGUUGGGGAUAACUCAUCGAAAGAUGGGCUAAUACCCGAUGAUACUGUAUUCACUGCGGUGAAUACAGUCAAAGGAGGCCUCUGUUUACAUGCUUUUGCUGAAGGAUGAGUCCGCGUACCAUUAGCUAGUUGGUAGGGUAAUGGCCUACCAAGGCAACGAUGGUUAGCUGGUCUGAGAGGAUGAUCAGCCACACUGGAACUGAAACACGGUCCAGACUCCUACGGGAGGCAGCAGUGAGGAAUUUUGCGCAAUGGGGGAAACCCUGACGCAGCAACGCCGCGUGAGUGAGGAAGGUUUUCGGGUCGUAAAGCUCUGUCAGAUGGGAAGAAAUGCAGUUAAGUUAAUACCUUCUCUGCUUGACGGUACCAUCAGCGGAAGCACCGGCUAACUCCGUGCCAGCAGCCGCGGUAAUACGGGGGGUGCAAGCGUUGUUCGGAAUUAUUGGGCGUAAAGAGCGUGUAGGCGGCUAGAUAAGUCAGAUGUGAAAGCCCUGGGCUUA
rnacentral:rRNA from 1 species